CAUAAGACUGGGAUAACUCCGGGAAACCGGGGCUAAUACCGGAUAANAUUUUGAACCGCAUGGUUCGAAAUUGAAAGGCGGCUUCGGCUGUCACUUAUGGAUGGACCCGCGUCGCAUUAGCUAGUUGGUGAGGUAACGGCUCACCAAGGCAACGAUGCGUAGCCGACCUGAGAGGGUGAUCGGCCACACUGGGACUGAGACACGGCCCAGACUCCUACGGGAGGCAGCAGUAGGGAAUCUUCCGCAAUGGACGAAAGUCUGACGGAGCAACGCCGCGUGAGUGAUGAAGGCUUUCGGGUCGUAAAACUCUGUUGUUAGGGAAGAACAAGUGCUAGUUGAAUAAGCUGGCACCUUGACGGUACCUAACCAGAAAGCCACGGCUAACUACGUGCCAGCAGCCGCGGUAAUACGUAGGUGGCAAGCGUUAUCCGGAAUUAUUGGGCGUAAAGCGCGCGCAGGUGGUUUCUUAAGUCUGA
rnacentral:rRNA from 1 species